AAGAUGUUUCUCGAGGAUUGUCUUACAAAAUCAGAAGGUCUGGUUACCACUGGAACACAGUGCCCAGUGACAUAGCUGCUGGUGACCCCUGACCUUUCCAGCUUCUCCACUGCUGUCUGGUCUCCCUGGAAACAAACCUCUGGCAACAACUGCGAAGGAGUUUCUAGAUUCAAGUUCCAUGAAGACCCACCUGCCCCCAUUAAAUGUGGGUGGAUGGGUGGCAGCCUGGUAUGGGCUGAGGUUUAGUAUUGCAUAAAAAGAAGAGAGUGAGCUGAACACAGAAUUCUCCACCCUCUGCUUCCUGACUGCAGAUGCAAUGUGACCAGCUGGCUCACACACCCGCCACGUGCCUUUGCUUCCACAAUGGACCGGACUAUACCCUCAAACCAUGAG
rnacentral:lncRNA from 1 species